rnacentral:rRNA from 1 species
GCGACCCCAGGGUCAGGCGGGACUA